UUGAUAUACAGGGUCCAGUGUUAAGCCCCGCUUUUUAGACGGGGUUUUUUAUUACCUGUACGACAUCAAGCAAGCUGAUUGUUUGCUAUUAAACUGGGCCAAUAGGCCCUUUUUUU
rnacentral:sRNA from 1 species